GGGGAACGUUGGUGGUUGCUCCAGGGUUCCGGGGUGCAGUAAGGGGAGCCCACCUUCCGCUGCUUCCUUUGACACGUUCUGGAGAAAAAGAGAGGCGCAUGUGUCUUCAAUACUUUGCUUUUCAUCUGCUUUUACAGAAUCGUAGGGAGUCUUCUUACUACCUGGCCUCAGAUAUUCACUGGUGAGACAAUCAUCUCUAAGAUAUGAGAUACAAGAAUGUGAAGGCAACACAAACAACCUUUAAACAUCAGCUGGCUACACCAGAGAAACCAGGCACAGCAGAUUUCCUGUUGAGGAAUUCCACUUUUCUUCCAUUCAAAAAACUCUGAUGGAUUAAAAAUGAUUCUGCUUCUGAGUUUUUGGAUUGUCACAGGUCUCAUGGCAGAGGACCCAACAGCGACAUAUUAUCGGCUGAAAAACAGCUCAGUGUGUCUGAAUGUCAGGAAACCGCCACCAUAUAGACGUGGUGAAUGGAAAUUUAACACAAUAAUUAUUGCUGAUGAUACAGAAAUCAAUCCAAUAUACAAAGACAGAGUGGUUUAUAGUGCUGGAAACCUCUCCUUGUGUAUUAAUAACCUGGCUGAUACAGACGCUGGCAUAUAUGAAGUCUCAUACCACCAAAACUUUACUUCAGUGACAGAGAAACAUGAAGUCAUUGUUCAAGAUGUGGUUCCCAGACCUGUCAUUAUAAUGUCAAAGCUUGGCUCCAACCAGUCUGCUGGACUCUGCAGUAUCACAGUAAACUGCUCCAUCCAGGAUUAUUGGCUUUGGUCUGUUUGUGAUGAAGACGGCUGCAGAACAUCACAGAAAUCAUUCAGUGAGGUCAACAUCACCAUCUUCACUGAGAACAGAGCUGUGGUCUGCAGAGGCAACAACCAUGUUAGCACAAAUAAAGCUUCUGAAAACUUAACACUGUGUUUUAGAUAUAAUAAAGAUGAACAGAAAUCACAACAAGUCAUACUAAAAGGAAUACUUAUUCCUGUUUCUGUAUUAAUUAUUCUUGGAGCAUUUUCUUUCUUUUUAGUUAAAACAAAAUACAAAUCCUACCAGUCUAGAGUCUCUUCUACCAAUGAUCCUGAUCCUGCUGAGAACGUGGACGUCUUUCAGUCCAGCCAGACCAGAGAGGAAAUGAUCUCCAUGGAAAGCCACAAAGCAGAUACCAUCUACAACUGUCCAGAAGUGACGGCCACCAUGGAGGAGGCCCUCCAAACAGACUGACUCAGUUUACAGCAUGUUGUGGAAGCCAAACAAAUCUGCUACAUACACAGCACCACCAAGAGGUCAACAAGAUCUGUGAACAGGGGGAAACAAAAGGAAACAGAACAGAAACAAAUCAAAGAAACUGAACAUUUUUAUUCUUAUUUCAGGCAGAUACUCCAAAUAAUAACUAAAGCACUUCAAAAAUAAUAGCAACCCUCCACCAAGGUAUCUCACUCUGGUCAGUAUUUACUUUAUCUUGUAUAUAUUCGUUUUGCUUUCUUUGUUCUUUUUAAACAUACUUUAAUACGUUUGUAGAAACAAGUAUAAAAAAAAAAUACAAAGUACUGGAUUUUUUUCAUUUUCCCUCUUGAAACCCAUUUUGACAUGUUUGGCAUCAUUUUGACUGCAAAUGUUUGUUUGUUUUAUAUGGAUAUAGUACAUGUGUAGCAUUCAUUUCAUUGUUCAGUGAUGAAUUUUAAGUGAAAGCUUUUGAUCAUAAGUUUAUUUUGUUUUCCAAAAAUAAUAGUUAUUCAGAAACAGUUAUAACCUGUUAUUGUGAUGUACAUAACAAAGUCACAAUAAAAUCAGUGAUACUCAAAAAGUGCUCCAUGCCAACAUGACCUUGGUGGAUGUAAGCCAACUUUAAAUGGGCUGUUAACACGAUGCCACUCUACAUCCCUACAAAGUUUUAUCACAACUCCAUUUUUUCAGCUAUCAUGUUUACAGAGAGAAGAAAACACAAACAAGCGCUACCAAAAACUAAUUUGUUCAAAUCCUUUCAUUUCUAGCUCAUUAAUAUUUAGCAUAAAAGAGACAAAGAAAUGCAGCAGGGUGCAAGAUUGUAGCAGCCAGGGCAUACAUAGAACGCCAUAGCCUUUACUGCUGUCACGCUGGAAACAAUAAAGUUAAAUAUUAAUUCAGUCACGUUUUGACAUCCUUAACUUUCAAAUCC